CCACACCUAAAACUUUCCACGUGAACCGUAUUUUUGACGUUGGGGACUCCUGGCUUCGGCCGGUUGAGACCUAUCACGCGACCGCUCGGGCUGAAAAGUCGGGGCCAGUAGCCUUUUUUAAACCCAUUCCGAACUACUGAACCAUACUGUGGGGACGAAAGUCCUUGCUUUUAACUAGAUAGCAACUUUCAGCAGUGGAUGUCUAGGCUCGCACAUCGAUGAAGAACGCUGCGAACUGCGAUACGUAAUGCGAAUUGCAGGAUUCAGUGAGUCAUCGAAAUUUUGAACGCAUAUUGCACUUCCGGGUUAUGCCUGGGAGUAUGCCUGUAUCAGUGUCCGUACAUCAAACUUGGCUCCCUUCCUUCCGUGUAGUCGGUGGAUGGGGACGCGCAGACGUGAAGUGUCUUGCGGCGGCGGCUUCGGCCGGCUGCUGCGAGUCCUUUGAAAUGUAAGACCUGUUCUUCUCUUUGCCCGAAAAGCGUUGCGUGAGUGUGGUUGUGGAGGCUGCCGUUUGCGGCAUGUCGGCGACUGAUUUCGUGCUGAGGCGUGUGGGGAGAGGCUCGAUUCGCGGUAUGGUUGGCUUCGGCUGAACUUCUGCUUAUUGGGCUUUUUUCCUGGCUUUGGCGUUUUGCGGGGUCGGUGUACCGUAGCUGCGGGUGGCUUGGCCUUUGAACCGUAUUCGUGCGGAGCGAAGUAAGGUGGCCGUGACUGUAGUGUUAUGGCCGAGGGGGACGCAACCAUUUGGGAAACUACUGCUUUUCUGCCGGCUUUCGGGCUGGCGGGGCUGCAUCUCGA
rnacentral:rRNA from 1 species